rnacentral:rRNA from 1 species
AUACGGAGGGUGCAAGCGUUAUCCGGAUUUACUGGGUUUAAAGGGUGCGCAGGCGGUAAUUUAAGUCAGUGGUGAAAGCCUACAGCUCAACUGUAGAACUGCCAUUGAAACUGAAUUACUUGAGUGUGGUAGAGGUAGGCGGAAUACAACAUGUAGCGGUGAAAUGCAUAGAUAUGUUGUAGAACACCGAUUGCGAAGGCAGCUUACUAAACCAUUACUGACGCUCAGGCACGAAAGCGUGGGGAGCGAACAGGAUUAGAUACCCUAGUAGUCC